UUAAUGUACUUCUAUUUCCCUAUUGUUGGAUAUUUAGAUGUUUUCCAAGUUUUAUCCACAUCUUUGUGCAUGAAGAUUUAUCGCCCCAUAUUCUGGGAUAUUUCAUUUGGAUGGCUUCCCAGAAGGUACUGAACAGGUCAAAAUGUAGAACACAUUCAUUUCCAAUCCUUCGGAUAUGUAUGGCUAUAACCAUUUUUUCAAAGUGUGUGCUGACUUACACUCCCACCUGUAGGGUGAGCGGCUCAGGCAGACAGGAUGUGAGGUCUGGGGUCCGAAGGCCUGGGCUUGUGUCCUGGCUUUGUCACCCACUGACAGGUGAUUCUGGGUAAGUAAGUUGCUUGAGCUCCCUGGGCCUCAGUUUCCUCUUAUGUAAAAUGGAAGUGAGAGCACUAGCUCAUAGCACUGUGGUAAGAAUCAAAAGAGCAAGGGUUGUGACAGCGCUCCACCGACUGUCAGACUCUGAAAUGUGAGUUCUCUGGCCGAGGGACUUGCUGUCAGGCAGGCAUGGAGCCUGCAGCACCCCCGCAGUGGAGAGGCACAGCCCCCAGGGUCAGGUGCACCACAUCCCGGGACUCAGGUCUGCAGCACCCUGAGACUCGGGCACGCUGUCCUUGGACUCAGGUGUGACACAGAGCACAGGGAAAACACCAUGUGAUGUUGGGGGCAGAGAUGAGGGUGCUACAGCUGCAGGCCCCGGACUGCUGGCCACUGCCAGGCGCUGGAAGAGGCAAUGAAGGAUUCUUUCCUGCAGGUCUAGAGGGAGCGUGGCCCUGCCAACACCUUGAUUUUGGACUUCGGGCCUCCAGAACUGUGGGAGAAUACAUUUCCGGUGUCGGGAAGGCACCUGACCGUGAGUUCCCUGCCGUGGCAGCCCCAGGAAGCUACUGCAGUAGGAUAAGGCGCAGCCUUUGGGAAGAAAUGGCAUUAUACAGAGAGAAAGGUAUUUUGGGCAAGAGUGCUAAAGCCCUUGAGGGGGGUUAGGUGGGAACUUUCCAGAGAAGGUGAGCAGCCGGAGAAGAGAGGAGGAGGCCAGGAGCGCUGAUACUGCUGACAAGGCCACGCUUGACGGGGGAAGUGCCGCGGCCGCGGCUGGUCUUGGGUCUGGCUGAGGACAAAUGCAACGUGCUGCGGGCUGGAUGUGGUUAAACCGAGGGCCGUGCAGGAAAAACAAAUAGGGCGGAGGGGCUGGUUUCAGCUGAUCACUGCAACACCUGUUUUAUCCCGGCCUGGCCAGGUCUGUGCCAAGUGGAGGGAGGUAGCUGCGUUAUUGAAAGUGAUCGUUAAAAUGGCUUUCCUGUUCCCCUCCGUGUCCCGCCCACCCCUGCUCUCCCCCACCCCCGUUGCUGGCCCCUUCACCAGCCUGUGUGUCCAGAAGAGGUGAGGGAAACGGACGCCCUUGCUGGAUAUUGACAAGAGUGCUGCCUGUGUCUUGCACACUGAGGACAUUGUUUAAGACAGUGCCACCUCUGUAAAAAUAUUGGUUCUGCAGUGUUGCCAAGAUUGCUGAGUUAUCUAUCAACCAGCACUCCUUGUGCAAACUCGGCCUGCCUCCUGACAGGUUUAAUCAGCGUGCAAGCCCUUUUAGAGAGCGCUGGCAGUGUCUGCGCGGGUGCCUUCUCUAUCUCCCUGCCUGCCACCAGCAGCCACUGGGGUGGCUGCCACGUGAAGCUGCUCUUCUGGGCCGAGCAGGGUAAUUGCAACAGGAAAAAGGGCAGGAGAACCCUUCCUCCAAUAGCCUGGGGGGACAAAUCAUCCCGAUUUUGGACUUAGCAUGUCUUUAGAGAGUGCCUUCAGCCAAGGAUUAAAAGUGUCCUCGUCACACCAGGAGACCCCUUGUCUCCCGGUGUCAGGGUGCUGAGACCCUCAUGGACGAAGGCAAGAUCGGGAACCUCAGGUACUCACUGGCCCGGAAGUGGCAUUUCCUUUGAUGUAAUCACCUUGGCAAACGAAGAGUGUUGCAAUUCCGGGGCGCUCGGCAAACCCUGCCUUCUGUUCCGGUGGAAUAAUUCUGUGCGAACACGUGGACCCACAGGUGAACUGCAUCUGAGGAUGAUACAGAUGACAUAAUUUCAGCCGCUAAUCUACUGGGGUCAGAAAAGGUUAUUUCCAAGUUCUAAAGAUAAAUAAGAAGCUUAAAACUCACCUAGACAUUAAAUGGACAUUUCUAAGUUUUUAAGCAUGGCCUGAAAAUAAUAAUAAUAAAAUGUGCUGGACUUUAAAAAGCAUCACCACUCUAGUGUGUAGAGUAUACAAAGAUGAAAAUUGGAGAGAAUUACCAUGUAAGUUUCCUCCUGCCUUUCCUCGCCCCCAGGUUUCUUAUAAAUGACUGAUUUCAUGUUAUGGAUCCACAGUCGGGAGGACAUUAAUAAACGUGUAGUUGGAACGGUGAGCUGCUCCUGACUUGCUGUGUGGCAUUGGUCGAGGCAGCUAACCUCUCUGGGCCUCAGCUUUCCCAUCUGUAAAAGAGGAAGGCUGCUUGUCCGCUGUCCUGCAGGGGGAAAGAUGCGUGCACCGGCAUGUGGGAAGGGAAAUGAGGAAAGGACUCAGAAGACGGAUGAAAAGCAGUAGAGAAUAAUAAACGGCUCCUAUUUAUUCCCCAAGCCUCAAAGUUUGGCCCCUUCUCAGGACUGAUGUUUGAAACCUGCGACAAAUCGUGUUGAUUUGGCCGGUCACUCAGAAAUAUUGAAAGCAAAUAUUAACUCGAGAUAAUGCAACACGAGCAAUGCAAAGGCCAAUUAACCUGGAAAAAGAAAAUAUCACCAUAUUUUCAAAUGAUGGCUUAUGAUUGCUUCCAGAAUUGCUCAUAAAUCCCUGUUUUGUGGCAGCAAGAACAUGCUCAAGAAAUUAAUGCUGGGGUAUCUCAGGGCAGCUUUAUAAUCAUGUCAGCUCUGCACACUGUCCCCGUUUGCUAAAACUUUUUCAUCGCUGAUAAGGUGCUUGUUAGAGAAACAGGAACUAAAUUUAUAGUCGGCUUUUGUGGAGCCAAUUUACAUGUUGUACUGCGGGAGCUCAGAACGAAAGGAAAUGUGCUCGAAGCCAAAAUUGGCUUUGUGGCUCCAGUUGUCUCAGCUCAGCGCCACCUGCCUCCAAUCAAACUGUCCAAUUACAGGAAACAAUUGUUUUCUUGCUUUCUGGGAAGUGAAGAAAUUCAUCCAGUAAAGGACUGAUUUCUAAAUGUUUCUCUUUUUCCCCCUUAAAAAGAAAAAAAAAAAAAAAAAAAAAAAAAAAAAAAGAAAACCACAACAAAUCCAAAACAUCAACAUUGUUUUGGGGGAGAAAGUGUUUCCCUAACAAAUUACUUUCAAAGUUCAAAAACCAUCCACUCGCUUUGGUGUUAUCGACACAGACAU